rnacentral:rRNA from 1 species
CUACGGAGGGUGCGAGCGUUGUUCGGAAUUACUGGGCGUAAAGGGCGCGCAGGCGGCUUGAUAAGUCAGAUGUGAAAGCCCACGGCUCAACCGUGGAAGUGCAUCUGAAACUGUCUGGCUUGAGUACUGGAGAGGAAAGUGGAAUUCCUGGUGUAGAGGUGAAAUUCGUAGAUAUCAGGAGGAACACCGGUGGCGAAGGCGACUUUCUGGACCAAUAUUGACGCUGAGGUGCGAAAGCGUGGGGAGCAAACAGGAUUAGAUACCCCAGUAGUCC